rnacentral:rRNA from 1 species
AGUGAACGUUGGCGGCGUGGAUUAGGCAUGCAAGUCGAGCGAGAACCGUAGCAAUACGGGGACAGCGGCGAAAGGGACAGUAAUGUGUAGGUACCUACCUCCGGGUUCGGGAUAGCUGCGGGAAACUGCAGGUAAUACCGAAUAACGUCUCCGGACCAAAGGUGUGAUUCCACCUGGAGAGGGGCCUGCAUCCUAUUAGCUUGUUGGCGGGGUAACGGCCCACCAAGGCGACGAUGGGUAGCGGGUGUGAGAGGCCGACCCGCGUCAUUGGGACUGAGACACUGCCCAGACACCUACGGGUGGCUGCAGUCGUGAAUCUUCGGCAAUGGGCGCAAGCCUGACCGAGCGACGCCGCGUGCGGGAUGAAGGCCUUCGGGUUGUAAACCGCUGUCGUAGAGGAGGAAAUGCAGGGGGGUUCUCCCCUCUGUUUGACCUAUUCUAGGAGGAAGUACGGGCUAAGUUCGUGCCAGCAGCCGCCGUAA